rnacentral:rRNA from 1 species
UACAGAGACUGCAAGCGUUAUUCGGAUUCACUGGGCGUAAAGGGUGCGCAGGCGGCCGUGUGUGUCAGGUGUGAAAGCCCGGGGCUUAACCCCGGAAUUGCACCUCAAACUACACGGCUAGAGCAUUGGAGAGGGUAGCAGAAUUCACGGUGUAGCAGUGAAAUGCGUAGAUAUCGAGAGGAACACCUGCGGCGAAGGCGGCUCACUGGACUGGUACUGACGCUGAUGCGCGAAAGCGUGGGGAGCAAACAGG